rnacentral:rRNA from 1 species
CAUGGAGAGCUUGCUCUCCGAUGGCGAGUGGCGAACGGGUGAGUAAUACAUCGGAACGUGUCCGUUUGUGGGGGACAACCAUCCGAAAGGAUGGCUAAUACCGCAUAAGACCUGAGGGUGAAAGCCGGGGACCGCAAGGCCUGGCGCGAACGGAGCGGCCGAUGACUGAUUAGCUGGUUGGCGGGGUAAAGGCCCACCAAGGCGACGAUCAGUAGCUGGUCUGAGAGGACGACCAGCCACACUGGAACUGAGACACGGCCCAGACUCC